CCAACGGCCCUCUUUAGGGCCACAACUGUUUACGAAUACUGAUGCA
rfam:Ancylostoma duodenale strain Zhejiang A_duodenale-1.0_Cont16204.2, whole genome shotgun sequence.